UCACAAGAGGACUAAAGAGCAUGCAAUGAGAGCCUGGGAGGUGAAAAUUACACCCGGCCAGCAUGCAAGCAAUGCAUUCUUAGCAAUGGCAGCAGGAGGGACAUCCAAGAGCUGUGUAUAAGAUGACAGGAUACUAAGGUAAGCGGACUCGUUGGAAGGUUUCAGAAAGGCAGAUGGGAGGUCCCUGAGCAGGUCGUCAUUCCUGAUGCUCCUGGGGGAAAGGAAGCUGGCGCUGCUCUGACCGACGCCCCCGAAGACCGCCACCUCUGCAUCCUGGAGAGAGCCUUUCUGGUGGCACCGGUAUCGGGUAUCCAG